UCGAGAAUUUUUCGCAAUGGGGGAAACCCUGACGGAGCGACGCCGCGUGGAGGAUGAAGGUCUUCGGAUUGUAAACUCCUGUCAUUUGAGAGUAAGGCGUUGGGGAGUAACUGCCCCGGCGUUGAUAGUAUCAGAAGAGGAAGGGACGGCUAACUCUGUGCCAGCAGCCGCGGUAAUACAGAGGUCCCAAGCGUUGUUCGGAUUCAUUGGGCGUAAAGGGUGCGCAGGCGGCUAGGUAAGUCAGGUGUGAAAUCUCGGGGCUCAACCCCGAAACUGCAUUUGAUACUGCUUGGCUAGAGGACUGGAGAGGUGAUCGGAAUUCACGGUGUAGCAGUGAAAUGCGUAGAUAUCGUGAGGAAGGCCAGCGGCGAAGGCGGAUCACUGGACAGUUCCUGACGCUCAGGCACGAAGGCCAGGGGAGCAAACGG
rnacentral:rRNA from 1 species